AUUAUUGGAAAAUUUCAUUUACCUAUACAUAUAUGGGUAACUUGAUUUACCCAUAUUUGGAUGAAAAAUAAAACAUUUCAAAAUUGAUACUUGACAAUAAAUAUCAAUUUUCUUCCGUGAUAUUUUCCUGACAUAGAGUGUGUAAUUUUAACAAAAAAUAGUUCCAUUAUAUGCUAAAAAAAAGUUUAUACGUUCGCUUGAGUUAUUGCUGCAGUCGUUCCCAGAAGAUUGAGAACGAAAACGGCAAAAAACAUAUCGAUAUGGAAAAAAGACUCUUUAAACUGGUGUUGGCAGAAGCCGAAGAAAUGCGUGAUCUAUAUGUUGUUUACUAUAUCGAUUAUGUUGAGGCAACUUUUUCGGAACUGCACAUACACAGCGAUUUGUUUCCCUGAUGCAUCAGGGAAAAUUUCCGAAUAGCAUCAAACCCGCGUCGAUUUUACCGACCUGUACGUACACCGGACCGGUGAAUGCAAGCUCAUCUGGAGAUCUUUACAAGCAGAGCUAGCGAUAAAAGAGCUACAAACUGAUUAAAGCGCUGUGGACGCAGAAUGCCGAAAAUACGAAUCUUCUCCGGAACCUGAGUGUUUGCAUGCAGUAAGAGGAGCUACAGGUUGUUUCCGAGAGAGCACACCGUUUUGGACCACACAGAAAAAGGAGGAAAUCUAAAAAGUAAAUCGUGAUACGUGAAGCUUGCCUAACCCGUCGUGUUUUCAUAGUUCAUCAAUUCCAUCUGGGAUGAGAUCGGCACUUAUUCGGCAUACCAGCCGAUCUGCUAAAAUCCGGAACUUAAACGAAAGCAUCAUCUGUAGAGGCGUGGAAAUCCUUUGCGUAGUGGGUCUUCAAGCGGAUCCGGCAGUAUAGCAGCGGUGGCGUAAUUCCCAUUAUUCUGUCAUCAAACAGGGUGAA